GCUGGGCACGGUGGCUCAUGCCUGUAAUCCCAGCACUUGGGGAGGCCGAGGCGGGAGGAUCACCUGAGGUCAGGAGUUCGAGACCAGCCUGACCAACAUGGAGAGACCCCGUCUCUA
rfam:Pan troglodytes isolate Yerkes chimp pedigree #C0471 (Clint) chromosome 16, whole genome shotgun sequence.